UGCACACGCCUAGAAACACCUGGAGCGGGGUGGGUGGUGGGUGGAGAGAGGUUGUUUGUACACUUGGUAAACAUAAUGAUAUUGGAUCUAAAAUGUUUCUCAAAGAUAAUGAAUUUCAGCCUCAGAGAAGUUUCACUGUGCUGGAGAGGACAAGGCACUGCUGAGAAACUAUGCACGAACUGGCACUGAUUAUCAUGUGCCUCCCCCAUCACCUUACUCCACUUUAACACCUUAAUCCUGCUGGGAAUUAUGACCCCACAAUUGCCACCAAUUGGACUCCAAGGUACAGCCAGAGUACAGACCUUCCUCAUGCCUUCCAGCCUCUGGGUGGAAAAGCUGCUCUCCUGCCACUCCUGAGAGCAGAUGCAGUUCAGAUCCACACUGGAAAUGUGGGCACAAAUUCAAGUGAGAAUGGAACAUGUUGAAGCCAUGUGGAAAACAUUAGGCAUGCAAAGAAGAGAGCUCAGCCAAACCCACAGCCUCCUCUCCAGCUUGUCAUCUCUUCAAAGAAAAUACUCAAGUUUAGGGGAAGUGUGGAAGCAGUGGAUUGAGGAAUAUUUCAACAAGAUCCCAGUAGCCAUUCACCGAGCCCCCAGUGAAGGAUUUUUAUGAAAUGUGUUGGAUUCAAUAAAACAGAUCCUGCACACGAGAUCGUGGUAGAGCAGAAUGGUAUAGUUAGAAAUAAGAAGAGAUGGCAGAUAGAAACACGGCUUUUGAGGAAGACACAGAGAGUGGUAUUUGAUAAGUGCGUCAUCAUUGAGGAUUUUAAGACUAUACCAUACAGGUAUUAAAAAUGGACGUCCGCUGGCAACACCCCUUCUCUGCCAUCCUUGUGGGGCCUAGCAACUGUGGUAAAACUUUUUUCUAAAAAAAAAAAAAAAUGCUGGACAAUGCACACAGUGUGCUAUCUGUGAUGCCUGAAAAAUCCUGUGGUGUUACUCUUGUUGGCAGCCUUUGUACAAACAAAUGCUCUGUAAAUUCCCCUAUGAUAACAUUUGUAGAAGGUAUGCCUGAGAAAAUUGAUGAU